rnacentral:rRNA from 1 species
GACGAACGCUGGCGGCGCGCCUAACACAUGCAAGUCGAACGAGGUUGAGAGGAGCUUGCUUUUCUUGACUUAGUGGCGAACGGGUGAGUAACGCGUGAGGAACCUGCCUGUUAGAGGGGAACAACAGUUAGAAAUGACUGCUAAUACCGCAUAUGCCAUAUUGAGGACAUCCUCAAAGUGGGAAAGGAGAAAUCCGCUAACAGAUGGGCUUGCGUCUGAUUAGCUAGUUGGUGUGGUAACGGCAUACCAAGGCAACGAUCAGUAGCCGGACUGAGAGGUUGAACGGCCACAUUGGGACUGAGAUACGGCCCAG